rnacentral:rRNA from 1 species
GACGAGCGCUGGCGGCGUGCUUAACACAUGCAAGUCGAACGCUGAAGCCUCUUCGGGGGUGGAUGAGUGGCGAACGGGUGAGUAACACGUGGGUGACCUGCCUCGAGCUCUGGGAUAAGCCUGGGAAACUGGGUCUAAUACCGGAUAUGACCUUUUGCCGCAUGGUGGGGGUGGUAAAGGUUUUUCGGCUCGAGAUGGGCCCGCGGCCUAUCAGCUUGUUGGUGGGGUGA